UACGUAGGGUCCGAGCGUUGUCCGGAUUUAUUGGGCGUAAAGAGCUCGUAGGCGGCUCGGUAAGUCGGAUGUGAAAACCCGGGGCUCAACCCCGGGCCUGCAUUCGAUACGGGCAGACUAGAGUUCGGUAGGGGAGUCUGGAAUUCCUGGUGUAGCGGUGAAAUGCGCAGAUAUCAGGAGGAACACCGGUGGCGAAGGCAGGUCUCUGGGCCGCAACUGACGCUGAGGAGCGAAAGCAUGGGGAGCGAACAGG
rnacentral:rRNA from 1 species